UACAGAGGUCUCAAGCGUUGUUCGGAUUCAUUGGGCGUAAAGGGUGCGUAGGCGGCCCGGUAAGUCCGCUGUGAAAGUCGGGGGGCUCAACCCUCGAAAGCCGGUGGAUACUGUCGGGCUCGAGUACGGGAGAGGCGAGUGGAAUUCCUGGUGUAGCGGUGAAAUGCAUAGAUACCAUCAAGAACACCGAUUGCGAAGGCAGCUUACUAAGCUGUAACUG
rnacentral:rRNA from 1 species